UAUGGUCAGUUCGAAUAACGAAGUCAGCUGGGAACAGUAAAGGUCUAAAUCGUAAACGACGUGUAGGUCGUGAUGCAGGGCAAUAAUUGAGCAUGUUCGUAAACAGCUUUAUUUAGGAGGCAUUUUCAAAGGUGACCUUGAUAAUUCCAGCAAAUCUCAGAUUCGUCAAAAAUUCAUCGUUGAAAAGCUUUAAAAUAAAAAGCUUCCUAUAAUAACUGACAAGUUAAGAGUAACCUUUGUGAAACCAGGACUCUGCUCAUGCUUCUAACAGGACCAAGAAGACAACAGUCAGUUAGCGAAAAGGACAAGUUUUAGCUGUAGAGGACGAUAAAGUAACAUUUACUAUAAUAAUCUUAACAGAUUUCAAAAUCUAGUAAAUUUGUUAGCGAGACCGUCUACUGAUAUUGCAACGAGUGCUUCAGAUAGUAACCAUCAAUCAUUUGAUCUGCCAGAUGGGGUUAGAAUUAUCAUAGCUGUUGAAUGAACAUCCCGAACUUCGUCAGUACUACCUUGUUGUUGCCCCUUACAAUCCAGCACUUCGCUAACAACAAUGACCUUGUAGUGACAUCAAAUAAAGCACACAAAGUUCUAACUUAAUGUAGAUAGUUUCCUGCAAACAAGUGAACUUGUCCAUUGCAAAUUCAUUUCAAAAUUGAAGAAUCAAGCGUGAUGAAAUACAAAUCAAUCCACAUUCAGCUUACUAUUUAUAAUCGGCUGACUUCAAAGAGAUAAUAGGCAGGUUCUCCUCUAGACGCAUAUGUCAUCACUUUUUCGGUUGGGAUUGUAUGUCGCACACAUCACAAAAA